UAGGGAAUAUUGCAAAAUGGGCGAAAGCCCGAUGCAGCAACGCCGCGUGGGCGAUGAAGGCCUUCGGGUCGUAAAGCCCUUUUUGAGGGGAUGAGGAAGGACAGUACCCUCAGAAUAAGCCUCGGCUAACUACGUGCCAGCAGCCGCGGUAAAACGUAGGAGGCGAGCGUUAUCCGGAUUUACUGGGCGUAAAGCGCGUGCUGGCGGAUUGGAGAGUUGGAUGUGAAAGCUCCCGGCUUAACUGGGAGAGGUCGUUCAAUACUUCCAGUCUUGAGUGCAGUAGAGGGAAGUGGAAUUCCGGGUGUAGUGGUGAAAUGCGUAGAUAUCCGGAGGAACACCAGUGGCGAAAGCGGCUUCCUGGACUGUAACUGACGCUCAGACGCGAAAGCUAGGGUAGCAAACG
rnacentral:rRNA from 1 species